GGGGUUGUGGCUCAGUGGUAGAGCACUUGCCUAGCAUGUGUGAGGCCCUGGGUUUGAGUCUCAGCACCUCA
rfam:Ictidomys tridecemlineatus contig042139, whole genome shotgun sequence.